rnacentral:rRNA from 1 species
UACGGAGGGUGCGAGCGUUGUCCGGAAUCACUGGGCGUAAAGGGCGCGUAGGUGGCGCGGGCAGUCAACGGUGAAAGCUCGGGGCUCAACCCCGAGUCGGCCGUCGAUACUCCCGCGCUUGAGCACUGUAGAGGCAGGUGGAAUUCCGGGUGUAGCGGUGGAAUGCGUAGAGAUCCGGAAGAACACCGGUGGCGAAGGCGGCCUGCUGGGCAGUAGCUGACACUGAGGCGCGACAGCGUGGGGAGCAAACAGG